GAAAAAGGACUGCCCUGUGUCCAUUUUCCAAAAGCAGGUUUCAAGCAUUGCCUGACUGAUGUAGUUGGAAGCUGAUCUUUGUUCAGUGGAGAGUGGUGUCAGAAUCUGGCUUUUUUUUUUUCUUUUCUGCAAAUGUAAUUUCUUCUAUUUGUAAUAUCACGAUGUCUGCAGGCCUUGGAAGAGGGUCCCUCUUGUUUGUUUCUUCCCAAGGAUUCCUCCAAUUUUACUACAUGAGUAGUUUUUCAGGAGGUUUAACCUUGCCACUCGAGGGGGAUGUCGUGAUACACUGUUUCUGGGGAUUGUUUGUUCUAAUUUUUGCAUCUUUGACUGUCAAGACACCACUUCACCCUGGAUGGAGGUCCCUCUUGGGCCCAUUUUCCCAAAGCAGCUUUCAACCAUUACCUCAGUGAUGCAGUUGUUGAAAGUUAAUUGUUUUAACUGGUAAAUGAUGUCAUUUUGCAAUUGUUUGAAAAGAUCAUUUUAAUGUUAUUGUGCAGGAUUUUCAUUGUAACGCGUACAUUUGAACACAUACCAAACCGAUCAUGUUUCUCUUAUCGUCCGUUUUGGGUCACUUGUUGCGUUCGACUGUUGAGUUCUUGCGAAAAUUUCAUUUUUCAUGGCAAAACACCGUAGCGCUCUAAAAGAGGACUGCCCUGUGUCUAUUUUCCCGAAGCAGAUUUCAACCAUUGCCUGACUGAUGUAGUUGGAAGCUGAUCUUUGCUCAGUGGAGAGUGGUGUCAGAAUCUGCCGUUACUUUUUUUUUUUUUUUUCUGCAAAUGUAAUUUCUUCAAUUUGUAAUAUCACGAUGUCUGCAGGCCUUGGAAGAGGGUCCCUCUUGUGUGUUUCUUCCCAAGGAUCCCUCCAAUUUUACUACAUGAGUAGUUUUUCAGGAGGUUUAACCUUGCCACUCGAGGGGGAUGUCGUGAUACAUAGUUUCUGGAGGUUAUUUGUUCUUAUUUUUGCAUCUGUGACUGUCAAGACACCACUUCACCCUGGAUGGAGGUCCAUCUUGGGCCCACUUUCCCAAAGCAGCUUUCAACCAUUACCUCAGUGAUGCAGUUGUUGAAAGUUAUUUGAUUAAACUUGUAAAUUAUAUCAUUUUGAGAUUAUUUGCAAAGUUCCCAUGAAGUUAUUGUGUAGGUUUUCUCAUUGGAAUGCGUACAUCGGAACACAUACAAAACCGAUCAUGUUUCUCUUAUCGUCCGUUUUGGGUUACUUGUUGCGUUCGAAUGUUGAGUUCUUGCGAAAAUCAAAUUUUUCAUGGCAAAACACCGUAACGCUCUGAAAAAGGACUGCCCUGUGUCCAUUUUCCAAAAGCAGCUUUCAAGCAUUGCCUGACUGAUGUAGUUGGAAGCUGAUCUUUGUUCAGUGGAGAGUGGUGUCAGAAUCUGGCUUUUUUUUUUCUUUUCUGCAAAUGUAAUUUCUUCAAUUUGUAAUAUCACGAUGUCUGCAGGCCUUGGAAGAGGGUCCCUCUUGUUUGUUUCUUCCCAAGGAUUCCUCCAAUUUUACUACAUGAGUAGUUUUUCAGGAGGUUUAACCUUGCCACUCGAGGGGGAUGUCGUGAUACACGGUUUCUGGGGAUUGUUUGUUCUAAUUUUUGCAUCUUUGACUGUCAAGACACCACUUCACCCUGGAUGGAGGUCCCUCUUGGGCCCAUUUUCCCAAAGCAGCUUUCAACCAUUACCUCAGUGAUGCAGUUGUUGAAAGUUAAUUGUUUUAACUGGUAAAUGAUGUCAUUUUGCAAUUGUUUGAAAAGAUCAUUUUAAUGUUAUUGUGUAGGUUUUCUCAUUGGAACGCGUACAUUUGAACACAUACCAAAUCGAUCAUAUUUCUCUUACCGUCCGUUUUGGGUCACUUGUUGCGUUCGACUGUUGAGUUCUUGCGAAAAUAUAAUUUUUCAUGGCAAAACACUGUAGCGCUCAUAAAGAGGACUGCCCUGUGUCUAUUUUCCCGAAGCAGAUUUCAACCAUUGCCUGACUGAUGUAGUUGGAAGCUGAUCUUUGCUCUGUGGAGAGUGGUGUCAGAAUCUGCCGUUACUUUUUUUUUUUGUUUUUCAGCAAAUGUAAUUUCUUCAAUUUGUAAUAUCACGAUGUCUGCAGGCCUUGGAAGAGGGUCCGUCUUGUGUGUUUCUUCCCAAGGAUCCCUCCAAUUUUACUACAUGAGUAGUUUUUCAGGAGGUUUAACCUUGCCACUCGAGGGGGAUGUCGUGAUACAUAGUUUCUGGAGGUUAUUUGUUCUAAUUUUUGCAUCUGUGACUGUCAAGACACCACUUCACCCUGGAUGGAGGUCCCUCUUGGGCCCAUUUUCCCAAAGCAGCUUUCAACCAUUACCUCAGUGAUGCAGUUGUUGAAAGUUAUUUGAUUAAACUUGUAAAUUAUAUCAUUUUGCAAUUAUUUGAAAAGUUCCUAUAACGUUAUUGUGUAGGUUUUCUCAUUGGAACACGUACAUUUGAACACAUACCAAAUCGAUCAUGUUCCUCUUACCGUCCAUUUCGGGUCACUUGUUGCGUUCGACUGUUAAGUUCUUGUGAAAAUCAAAUUUUUGAUGGCAAAACACCAUAGCGCUCUGAAAGAGGACUGCCCUGUGUCCAUUUUCCCGAAGCAGAUUUCAAGCAUUGCCUGACUGAUGUAGUUGGAAGCUGAUCUUUGCUCAGUGGAGAGUGGUGUCAGAAUCUGCCGUUCCUUUUUUCUUUUUUUUUUUUUCUUUCUGCAAAUGUAAUUUCUUCUAUUUGUAAUAUCACGAUGUCUGCAGGCCUUGGAAGAGGGUCCCUCUUGUGUGUUUCUUCCCAAGGAUCCCUCCAAUUUUACUACAUGAGUAGUUUUUCAGGAGGUUUAACCUUGCCACUCGAGGGGGAUGUCAUGAUACAUAGUUUCUGGAGGUUGUUUGUUCUAAUUUUUGCAUCUGUGACUGUUAAGACACCACUUCACCCUGGAUGGAGGUCCCUCUUGGGCUCAUUUUCCCAAAGCAGCUUUCAACCAUUACCUCAGUGAUGCAGUUGUUGAAAGUUAUUUGAUUAAACUUGUAAAUGGUAUCAUUUUGCAAUUGUUUGCAAAGUUCCUAUAAUGUUAUUGUGUAGGUUUUCUCAUUGGAACGCGUACAUUUGAACACAUACCAAAUCGAUCAUAAUUCUCUUACCGUCCGUUUUGGGCCACUUGUUGCGUUCGACUGUUGAGUUCUUGCGAAACUCCAAUUUUUCAUGGCAAAACACCGUAACGCUCUGAAAGAGGACUGCCCUGUGUCCAUUUUCCCAAAGCAGAUUUCAACCAUUGCCUGACUGAUGUAGUUGGAAGCUGAUCUUUGCUCAGUGGAGAGUGGUGUCAGAAUCUGCCGUUACUUUUUUUUUUUUUUUUUCUGCAAAUGUAAUUUCUUCAAUUUGUAACAUCACGAUGUCUGCAGGCCUUGGAAGAGGGUCCCUCUUGUGUGUUUCUUCCCAAGGAUCCCUCCAAUUUUACUACAUGAGUAGUUUUUCAGGAGGAUUAACCAUGUCCACUUGAGGGGAUGUCAUGAUUUCUUUUUUUUUUUUUUAGUGUCAUGCUUUUUGUAUUUGUGAAUGUCAAGACACCACUUCACCCUGGAAGCAGGUCCCUCUUGGGCCCUUUUUCUCAAAGCAGCUUUCAACUAUUGCCUCAGUGAUGCAAUUGUUGUAAGUUGAUUGUUGCAAACUACACUGAGAUCUGCAAGAUUUGGAGGACGGUCUUGCUUUUGUCCUGUCCAAGCCUUCCUCAAACUUGCCUUAACUAAUGGGGUUUCAGGAGAUUUUACCUUGCCCACUCAUGGGGCUGUCGUAAGACAGUGUUCUAUUUUUUUUAUUGUGUUUUUCUCUAUUCCAGGUCUUCUGACUCCAUAGUUUUUUCUUUUCUGUUAUCUGCUCUUGUGUGAAUGGUAACUGUCCCGUGGAGUGUGAAAGUAUAGUCUUUUUUCUAUCCAGGUAUACUCAGGAGGCUUUAUGGCUGCGCUCCUGUGAUAUCCAGGGGCAUCCAGAGGUUUCUGUGUCACUUCUUUAUUUUUCUGACAGUCUCUCCACUACAAAAGCCCUCAAAGGCCAUGCAUUCAUACAUUUUAUUUUCUCCAUUUUCCCAAAAUAACAGGAUAUUUUUUCUCAAGAUCUCGAGAGAACAAAACUUUGUUUUCCCGAGAUAACAAUAUAAUUAAUUUGAGAUCUUGAGAAAACAAAACGAUGGUGUAAUAUAUUAAAUCAUUGCAGGAAACAUCAUUCAGUGUAGCAAUGUCAAUGUCAGGGGCAUGAGCAUAUCACAUAUCUUCUUAAUCAAGGCCUAACACAUGCUGAAAUAGCAUUAUGCCUUCCUAUUACAGAUAAUAUACACAUUAGUGUGCAUAACCUAAAAAUACGGUUAGCACGUCUUCAGCUAGAUCGGCGGCACAAUCUAAAUGAGCCUGAUGUCGUCAUUAACUACACAGCUGACCAGCUACGAGGUCCCGAGGACCUGGCUAACCGUCUUUUUAGAUUACGCACACUAAUUUGUCUAUUAUCUAUAAACCCAUUGGGCUGCAUGCCAUGCCACUUGUGUGUGAUGGAAAUCACACAUCAUAUCAUAUCACAGUCAUUAUCUCGAGAGCUUGAAUUAAUUAUAUUGUUAUCUCAGGGAAAAAAAGUUUCGUUAUCUUGAGAUCUUGAGAAAAUUAUCCCGUUAACUUGGGAAAACAGCAGUUGUAAUUUCAAGAUAACAACUCUAAAAUCUAAAAAAAACUAAAGAAAUUAACUCGUUAUCAUGGGAAAACAGAGGUUAAUAAAAUGUAUGAAUGCAUAUCCCUUUAGGGCUUCCAUACUUUACACUUACUAUAACAAUGUCAUUAAUUUUAUUAUUAUUAUGGUGCUAUUUUGCAAGUUCUCAACCUGUCGAGUGUAAAUGUUCAGGGUAUAGGUUAUGUCAAAUCUCAAAUCAAGACUUUUUGUUUUUUGCAUUAUGUUAUCUGUGAUUAAUUGCAAAUCCUAACACCUCUUCUCUUGUCUUUGUAUGAAUGGUGUCUUGAGUUUUGGCUUGAGCGUGAAUGUGUUGACUAUCUUCUUUCCAGGUCUACAAAGGAGGUUGUGUGGUCGAGCUCUUGUGUAAACUGGAAAUCAUUAUAAUCUCUAUUAUUAUUUUUCCAUUGCAAUUCGACCACUGCAGUAGAAGUUUGUACAUGGAGUGUGGCAUAUACAUUGAGAGCUAAUCCCUCCAUCCUCAUGUUGAGGUUUCUCCCAGUUUUUUUCCCGUUAAAGGGUUUUUUGUGGUCUUCCUCAUUUGAACCAAAUUUAAGAGGAUGGGUGUGGCACAUGAUGAUAAACUAACAGAGCUCUCCGAAACAUAUUUUGUACAUAUUUCAAUAAAAUUAAAUUGAAUUGA